GUGUGUAUAGACUAUACAGUAUAGUAGUUUGUUUUGUAAACCGAAAUCAGAACACUGGCUGCUGGCCGGUUUACUUAAUUUAUGAAUCUAUAUAUACAUUUUUGCAGUCAUUUUGUGAAAUAAAUCCUGUAGUUGGGACUUAUUUACAAUGGCUGCCACUGGAUUUUAAUGUUUGUUUUUGAUAAUUAGAAAAAAAAUCUUCGAAUUAAAUAUUUUACAUUUAACAAUCUUCCCUAAAUCUCUCCACAUUAACUACACGGUUAGUUACUAAAAUUAAACUUCCAAAAUAUUUAAUAUCAUUUAAUUACUACAAAAUUAUCAUUUUUGAUAUUGUUUUUCUCCAUGACUAUAACAAUUCGACUAUAAUCAUCAAACCGCAGAGAUAUUUGAUAGCAUUUAAUUACUACAAAAUUACAAAAUAUUUAGACAAUAAUUCAUAAAAAUAUCAUAAAUAAGAUCAAUAUUAAUAAAAUAAAUAGUUUUUUUACGGGAUGGGUUGGCGGGACGGGUUUGGCAGGACGUUACUUAAUAACAAUUGUAAACUAUAAAAUAAAAAUAUUUUAUAAAUAGAUACAAUUUGCAAACUUUUAUGUAUACUAACUUUAAAAAAUAAAUUGUUCCCGCGGUGUACCGCGGGUUAAAAUCUAGUGACAUAUAUAAUAUAAUAAGGAAGUACGCACACUUCUAGCAUCCUACGGUCUGAAAACUAUUUCCAAA
rnacentral:sRNA from 1 species